UUCAAAGGCAAUGGACCAGGGACAUGGUUACAAAUCUCUGCCACUGGCACUGUGACUUAUGCAGGCAGUUUGUCACACAUGAGCCAGGUGACCUCUGUGACAUAACAGAGAAAAAUAUCGCCCGAGAUCAAAAGAUGAGAUUCAGAGCCCUCUAACUAACUCUGCUGCGGGCAGCAGCCGCCCAGGCUGGCCUCCCUUCCUGGCGCAGCCGCAGGGUGGGCUGUGCUCCUGCUAAUUGAAGCCGCCUCGUUUGCUCACCUCUCUGCCCAAACCAUCCCCGAAACACCACCAUCAGAACUGGCCUCCUCUUAAAGCUGCUGCUUUCCAAAACGGCUCGCAGAUGUGAAUGGGCGGCAGAUGUGAACGGGCACAGUGUUGGUCGGCAGGUCAAAACGAACACGUACCAAUCAGAAACAUCAGAAUGGCAGAAGAGUCGCUUCUGCAAACGAGUCUGUGUUCAGCCAGUGAUUUUUUGAAUGCUAAGCAACAAUGAAGCCUUGUAUAAGCAUGUCCUUCCCUGGUAUUGCAGUGAGAAGCCCUCAAAGCCUAAAACACUUACUGGGAUUCAACUGUCAUGGCAGUUACAACCUACAAACAAUUUCUGUUGGGAAAAGUGCCAUGGAGUAUCGACAGUGACAACAAAUUGCAUUGUGCGGUGAACAUCUGUUUCCGACUCCCACACUGAUAUUGCAGGUUGGCUACUUCUGCGUUAGUCCUCACAGGCUGCCCAACCUCAGAGGAACUGGAAAUUACUGGCAGGAAGAACAUCAGUGACUGCACACUGGUUACAAAAGAAGCUGAAGCUAUUGUAGACCACGGUGACCUGGGCACGAGCUGCAGCAUCGGUUUUGGCUUCCACCUGCACACUAGAUAAUUUGUUUUGCUGAUUUUCACUGAGCUACAGGAGCAGCAAGAUGGAGUGCAGACUGCAGGCCUGCCUGACCCACCCACUCUGGACCUUCUCCUCAAAGAUUUCCACCUUUUCCUGAAAGGCUGAGCAAGGAAUUGAAGGGAGUGCUGGUGAACUGCUGCACUCACUGUAGGUCCGUGCAGCCCACAGCCACAAACAGCCCCCGUUAGUGCUGCCCACGGACUGACUGCGGUGCUAACGUAAUUCCCAGGAAGGAGAAAGGAAAAGAAGAGCCAGCAAACAACAGAAAGGGGAUUUAGGAAUAACGCGUAGCAAAUGAAACUUAAACACUUGAGCCAGGCGCUCUGCAGAAGAAAACAGGAAACUGGCAGAUGCUGUGAGUGAAACUGGAAAUGCGCUAUUCGAGAUCUCAGCUUGCACUUCUUACUUGGACACAGUUCUCAUCAGCCUCAAUGAGGUCUUCUUCCAAUAAGCAAACAAAACCAGACCCAUAAGCACAACUUGACUUAACACUGAACAUCACCAUAUGCAUAAAGACUGACUUCUUCAGCUCUCUGUUCAGGAGCAGCUGUAGGUGCAUGUUUAUUUCCUCGUACAGGGAAUUCUUGCCACUGCACAGAGAGGUUCCCAGCGCUCUGUUGCUCCUAUGGACAUUUCCCCCAAACUUUUAAGAGGUACGAGGUGGAAUAGUGGAUGACCAGACACCCCCGGUGCCCCCCAAGGGGCUGCGAUGAGUUGGCUCAGGGACAGUGAGCCAUGACUCAGCCCCACCGGCCUCUGCUCAUUGCUCAGCACAAAUGGCAGCAGUGCAGUAAGUACCGAAUGGCAGCCAGGUGGAACAGAGGGUGCUGACUGUAACACCGGGCUGGGGACACAACUCUUCGUCACAUCCAGUGUCACUCAGUCGGGACGAUGCUUCCUGUAUUCAGCAAACAUGCCAGUAAAAGAAUUUCCUUGGCAUAGAGACAACGUGGAAAUGUCCUUUUAAAAGCCAGUUAAUACCAACAGAACUCAUGAGCUAGCUGGAACCAUUUCCUAUGCUAUGGAAAGAACACUUGAAUAAGGCUAACCAAGACGUUUCACCCUGCCCACCUCCCCCCUCCCCAUCUAUUUCUGGAUGUCUUCUUUUGUUCACCCUUGGCUAAUUAUAGAGGCCUUGCUUAGGUUGUAUUUAUAGCCUUAAAAGAGUUGCCUGACUUCUAGAACACUUUAUUCAUGUAUAUUUCCUGUGUUUAUUGUUGCCUUCGCUAAUUUUUGAGAUUAAAUUUACUUGAUCCAAGAUUUGACUUAGUAACAAAUAUCAAAG
rnacentral:lncRNA from 1 species